GAACUCUCUCUUGCGGCUAGUAGAUCCCGAGGCGGAUGCUUAGACAAUAGAUCGCGGGACUCACAGGAUGAAUAAGCGUUAAUCAGGCGUCUCUCGUACCCGGUCUUCAGGUGCUCAGCCGAGACGAGGCCUGAAGUGAAAGGGGUCGAGGUGAACCAACGUCCACCAGGAUAGUCUUCUAUGGGUCCACUGGAGACAAUCUGAUGUUAAGAGUGGUAAUUCAAGAGGACGGCAAGUUUGAGAUGGCGGGAAUAUUAUGAAGCACAUUGAUAUCUUACAUCAGCGCCGCAUCCUGCAGGUUGUCAUCUCCGUCACACAGUGAUGUCAUUCAGUUAUUCUGUCAUUCAAGGUUAGCUGACUUUAACACUUGAAAUCUGAAUGUGCAUGGUGUCCCACACUCUGGCGUCUCAAAGUUUUUCUAAGGUCACCAUGUGGUAAUUUUAUUGGAAGCAGCAUAAAAAGGAUCAUUUUUUGGUCAGUGUUUGUGGCCUGCAGUAAACCAAAGAGAGCAGGGUCUCUGAAGUCGCCUGGCACUGUAAUGUCCUUCCUCAAGCACUAAUCGCACCUCGCACAUUAUAUGAGAAAAUCUGUCAUAAAGGAGGCAGGUUACAGGAGAUUUAAAAAAGUGCUUUUUAAAUGUCAUUUCCAUCUGGGGAGAAAACUUCACACAUAGGUACAGUUACAUUGCUUUUUGCUGUAGGGUUGUUUUGAUGUAAAAAAAAAAUAAAGGUAAAGAAAUAAUCCACUCAUAUUUUCUCACGUGAAAUAAUGUACAUAUAUCACUAAUUUGCAUUAUUAAUGGUUGAUUCCCAUGGUAAGAACUGUGGCUGGGUCACAGCCCACUGAGGGUAUACUGUAGUGAAAAAUCUGCAUUCACACAGAAGGUGCACUUCAGGACGUCUUUGGAUUGUAUGGUGAAUCUAAACGCAGGUCUGCAAACAAUCGCAAUAAGCAAACAGGGGAAUGGCUUUUUACAUUUUCAUUGCAUGUAGGACGAUGGCUAUGCUAAGUUUGUGUAUCACGCGCUGAUUGUGUGAAAAUCCUCCAUGGCAUUCAGGGCUGAACGCAUCUCUGUCAAAAUGUCAGGCCAGUGCCAUGUGACUGUCAUGUGACUGGCUGCUUUUUUCCAGGAAGAAAAAAACAAAUGGUGCAAUGAGACAAGUUGUACAUUUUGGAAGAACAUAUAGAAUCCUCUAAGAUUUUCAGUUACGUUCAUUCUGAUUCAUCUGUAAGAUUGAUUAAGUGCAUCACUUAUACGUCGCUUUGGACAAAAGCGUCGGCUGAACAAAUAAAUGCAAAUGUAAACUUUGAUUUACACAUAGCCCUGUUUGAUGGGAGCUGAUUAGAAUACGACCAUACUUUACAGCUGGACGGAUUUGACAUACACAUGGCGGUGGGCUUGCUACUUAAAAGAGGGGGGAGAGAGAACAUUUUCUAAUCAGUGCAACACAGGUGGCAACUCUGUCAUCUUUCUGCAGCCCCAGGUACAGGCCUGUUAGGGAGCCACUGAAAAGCCCAUUUACCCACAAUCCCCUUUGUCUUCACUACAGAGAUGGCACCGAUCGAUGAGAGGAAGGACAGGCGUGACAGAAUGAUGACAGAGGUCUGUAAGGAUAAUAAGCCCAAUACUAAAGCCAGAGGCUCACGAUACAGCCCUCAGGAUUUACAUUUUUUUAACAGACUGCUAAAUCAAGGUCCAGUCUGGAUGAUCGCGUCCAGUGAGUCAUUAGAUGAGAGAAUAUUAAUGAUUAAUGGUCUUUGUGCCAGAGGAGUCCCUGCUUGUAAUACAACAUUAGCAGCUAGUAGAUCAAAGGACAGAAUUAAUGAGGAGAGAUUUGUGGGGAUUCAUCACGUCGGCGUUCCCUUCCCCAGGCUAAUUAAUUCUCUUAAUUUAGAGCAAGGCAAGUUCUGCCGUAGCACCUCUCAUGACAAUAGCAUGCUAAUGCUAAACGGCUAAAAUCAGGGUACGUGCUAAUGUGCAGUGGCCCGGCAUUUGCUCUGCUUCCACAGACGGGAAUUAGCAUGAAUACUUUUUUACUUUAACAGUUUAAUUAAACAGCUCACUUGGUAUAAUAAGUAUUCCAAGGGCCAAUUUCUCUGUGGUGUAGAGUAUAUUUUAUAUACUUUAAACUGUAAGAACCAUUAAAUCAAAACAGUUAAAGAUGGCUGCAGCCUUUAUUGAAAGGACUUGUUUUUGCCACUUCCGCUGUAAAAGUUUAUGUAUGGACUUAUGAAUUCCCCCGAAUGAGGCUUUUUUUUCAGGUACUGAUUUUUUUGGAGCGACCAUUAUCUCUGUUCUCUGAAUGUGAUCUCUUUUCCCUGAAAGGCAGGGCAAUGAUGUUUGGCACCGCUGAAAAUGAGCGCCACCAAAACAGAAAAUUUACAGUCUCCGUUUCUGUACUUUAAUGCCAGGGCAGGUCACACCACCCGCUGUGGGGCCCUCAGUUGCUCUCAGUGGGCGAAUAGCGUGUAGCACGUCCCCGCAGUAGCUAAGAAGAGCAUAAAGAGUAACUGUUGCUCAAUCAAGGGCAGUGAGAUGCCCUACAGAACCUUCAUCUGAGGUCAGCAUUACACAGAAUUCUGCUGCAAAGACCCAGUCCGGGUAAGCCAUGAGGAAUGGCUGUUAAACACAUUAACCACACGCAAUCUACUAGUAACUAUCUACUAGGCCAAAACGACGCUUCAUGAAUUAUUUGCUGUGUGUUCUGACCCUGAUAAACGGUGCUCUUAGUAUACUUAGUUUUUGAACAGAGAGCACCAUCUCGCGGGGUCAGAAAACGCAGCAAAUGGUUCAUGAAGCAUAGCUUGGGCCAUCAUUGCUAUCCACUCAGUGUUUCCAUGCACUAACCUGCCCAAUGCUACAUGUCUUAAAGCACUUAUGUAAGUCGCUCUGGCUAAGGGCGUCUGCCAAAUGCUGUAAAUGUAAUGUAAAUGUACAUGCUAACACUGCUAACGUCAUGUAAAGCAACUCUCUCUAAAGGUAAAACCGUCUUCACAUAGACCAGUUACCGCAAAUGUGUGUGUAUGUGUGCAUAUAUAUUUGCUGUAUUUAUAUAAUGAAUAUACAGGAAAAAAAUACAGACACGUAUAUACAUGAGGAAAUUCUACAUGCUGGAUUACUGCCAUGUACUCCAGUGUUUAUGGCUUCUGGAGAUUGGUGUUUAUGGAAUAAAUAUUAAAAUGUGAGAUGUUGUGUGUUAUCAGCACCAAAUUAUGUUUUGAAAGGUAUUGAAAGCACAGCAGUGUUUGAGUAGCUCUUCACCCAAAUUAUUAUUGUGUUUUUCACUCUGCUACCACAAGCGGCUCACUCGCAGCUGCUCUGGGGUGCAGACGGCCUGUUUUAAGCCUGUGCUGUUCCGUUAGCGGAUGCAGGCUAGCUCCGCAGAGGCUAGCUGUCACGUUAGCGGGGGCCGCAGGCUGGCUCUGUGUCUAUGGGGGCUUAGCGGCAGGCUAAGCAGCGUGUGGCUAAGCGGCUGUCCAGCCUGCCAGGCUACCUGGGCUGCCAAACAGCCCAGCCGGUUAACCUGCGAGUCUUUCUGGCGCUCUACGGAACCUGCUCUUUUAUCUGCUGGCCCACUCUGUGGCUCUCAAACCCCAGGCCCUGGCUGAGCUUCAUCGUUCACUGUACAGGCCAGUGUGUGGUCCAGGGUAAUCCCUGCUGCAGUGCCCAGCCACGAGAAUCAGAGCCCACACACACGCUCAGCCACGAGACUCAGACCCCAUACACACGCUCAGCCACGAGUAUCAGAGCCCACACAUACGCUCAGCCACGAGAAUCAGACCCCAUACACACGCUCAGCCACGAGUAUCAGAGCCCACACACACGCUCAGCCACGAGAAUGAGCCCACACACACGCUCAGCCACGAGAAUCAGAGCCCACACACAGCCUCAGCCACGAGAAUCAGAGCCCACACACACCCUCAGCCACGAGAAUCAGAGCCCACACACAACCUCAGCCACGAGAAUCAGAGCCCACACACACCCUCAGUCAACGAGAAUCAGAGCCCACACACACUCUCAGCCAAUGAGAAUCAGAGCCCACACACACGCUCAGUCACGAGAA